ensembl:piRNA 21ur-3393 ncRNA
UAGCUAUUCCGUUAUCGAUGA